AAGCGCUCGGCCUAGGUGAGGUAAGGGAGCCAGCGAGUUGGGCAUUGCCCUUUCUGUCUUCCUUGGUUCCUCAGCCCAAGCUUGUCCCGAAGGCCUCAAUCAACAAAAGGACCCUGGGCAAGAGCCACUCCAGCAUCUUUGGCUACGCCGCUCGUCUCUGGCACAGGAAGGAGCCCCAGUGGAACAUGGAGAUCCCAACCUAGGGAUUCCGGGGUACGGCUGCCGCGUGUCCCCGCCUGCUGACUCACAAAGCCCGGGGUGCCAGGAGGAGCGCCAGAACUUCAUGCUUUUAAGGUUUGGUUGGCUGAUGAAAAGCAAGCAAUGAAGAACAUCCCAAGAAAGUGGGCUCUGGUGUUGCCCCGCGGCGCAGCCUCCUGACGCCUGUCGCUUUGCUCCAGGUAAGCAGCCGCUCUGUCUGCCCCGCGGAGGGGUUGCCCACUUUCCUCCCAGGGUAGUGCUCGACACAAUGCCUGGCACAUAGGAGGCGCCUAAUAAAUGUGUAUUGAUUACUUGAUGGAGAUCUGC
rnacentral:lncRNA from 1 species